AACGCACCUUGCGCCCUUUGGUAUUCCGAAGGGCACGCCUGUUUGAGUGUCAUGUUCAUCUCAAUUCAUCAGCUUUUUCUAAGCUGUUUGGAUUGGAUUUUGGGGGUCUGCUGGCCUGCAAAAAGGGUCUGCUCUCCUUGAAUGCAUGAGUGAGUGUCUGGCUCGCGUCGCUAGUGUGAUAGUCUUUCAUCAUUAGCGGCGCUUGCUUAAAGGGCUCGCUUUCGAACUGUCUUCUCAACGGAGACACUAUUUGACUAACUUGACCUCAAAUCAGGUAGGACUACCCGCUGAACUUAA
rnacentral:misc_RNA from 1 species